rnacentral:rRNA from 1 species
AUUGAACGCUGGCGGCAGGCCUAACACAUGCAAGUCGAGCGGAUGACGGGAGCUUGCUUCUUGAUUCAGCGGCGGACGGGUGAGUAAUGCCUAGGAAUCUGCCUGGUAGUGGGGGACAACGUUUCGAAAGGAACGCUAAUACCGCAUACGUCCUACGGGAGAAAGCAGGGGACCUUCGGGCCUUGCGCUAUCAGAUGAGCCUAGGUCGGAUUAGCUAGUAGGUGAGGUAAUGGCUCACCUAGGCGACGAUCCGUAACUGGUCUGAGAGGAUGAUCAGUCACACUGGAACUGAGACACGGUCCAGACUCCUACGGGAGGCAGCAGUGGGGAAUAUUGGACAAUGGGCGAAAGCCUGAUCCAGCCAUGCCGCGUAUGUGAAGAAGGUCUUCGGAUUGUAAAGCACUUUAAGUUGGGAGGAAGGGCAGUAAGUUAAUACCUUGCUGUUUUGACGUUACCGACAGAAUAAGCACCGGCUAACUCUGUGCCAGCCGCCGCCGUAACAC